rnacentral:lncRNA from 1 species
AGUAAAGUGCGUAAAAUAAAUAAAGUAAAGCGAGUGCGGAAAAUAAAUAAAGUAAAGCGAGUGCGGAAAAUAAAUAAAGUAAAGCGAGUGCGGAAAAUAAAUAAAGUAAAGCGAGUGCGGAAAAUAAAUAAAGUAAAGCGAGUGCGGGAAAUAAAAAAAAUAAAAGCGAUGCGGGAAAUAAAAAAAAUAAAAUUGAUGCGG